UCCCUCUUUGCAGUGGUCAAAGAGGCACCUCGUUUGUGGUGUUAUUCUUACAUCAGUUAGGGGCAGAGCCGAUGGCAGUCUUUUGUUCAUCCCAGCUUAAUGCCUGGCUUGGUGGCCAAAGCUGUCUUGUGCCUAGGACUCAUAA